ensembl:lncRNA
UCACCACUGUGGGUAUUCUAUCACCAACAAACACACACAACCAACCAGCAGGGGGGCUAUAACGGGUCAGUCGCAUUCUUGGGACUAGAAUGAACUGUGUUUUUUAUCUUGUUGUUUUUUGUUUUUUGUUUACUACUAUGGAUGUUUGAUUUUGUAAGGUGACCUUGACUGUCAAGAAAGGCGCCCGUAAAUAAAAUGUAUUAUUAUCAUUAUUAUUAGAGAACAUAAGUAGUAGAGAGGCGUGUGGUUCGGCUCGGGGGGUGGGGUAGUGUGACGGUGGUUUUGCUCAUCCUACAGUCAUCUGGCCACUGGGGUUCUCUACGGGGGAGACUGCCCAGCACCACACCCCCACUUCCGCCCCCUGCUGUUGAGCUGCCUUCACUCCACAGGCUGGUCCAGGUCAGCAUGGAGAACUAGAAGGCCCUGCAUGCUGUAGCGCCCAGCUCCUGCACUGUCUGCCAUCUGUGGAGUGGCACAGACACGCCCCGUCAGGGUUAGGACAAUACCCCCGCAGAGAGAUGGGGCUGCUUCUGCCACCAGGGAGCCGAGGACGUCCAACAGAGGGGGCUUUAAGGAAACACAAGAAGAAGAGGGAAACUGUCCAAGAAAAAUAGGGAAAAAUAAAGCCAUAGGUAAAGAGUUCACAAAGGGUCUUAAAGAGAAAGAGUAAUGAGCGUGAUUACAUCAAAAAUAAAUCCUUUGACAUAUUCAGCUUAUUUCCUAUCAAGACAACCAGCAACACAUAUCAAAAUCAAGACUUCCAUCUUCACUAUUUUUUCAAAUUCCCAUUUUGCAACACGAUAUGUAUUAUUUCCCAAAACUGACAUGAAUCAACGAUUAAGAAAGCAGUAUGUUUACCCUCUAAUUUAAGACACAUAUGUGUCACUUUUCUCUUUUGACAAUCUUUAGAAAAUAUGUUGUUUCAGUGUUAUACUCACCCAGCAAAGUCUGUGUCUCUCUCACUAGUAGCUGGACCUUCCUCUUCUAAACCGAACUGUCGGCACGCGUCCUCAUAUGACGUGGACCCUGUUGGUGUAGUACCGUGUAGUACCAUGUGGUACUGUGUGGUGCUAUAUGGUACUGUGUGGUAUUAGGUGUAGUACUGUGUGGUAUUAGGUGUAGUACUGUGUGGUAUUAGGUGUAGUACUGGGUGGUAUUAGGUGUAGUACUGUGUGAUAUUAGGUGGAACCGUCCGAGGCCUCGUGGAACAUUUAACCCCGAGGGUAGGAAACAUAAGGAUGAUUCCUACUGAAUGGGGAACCCUACACAGACAUGACCUGUAUAACCUCUGUAGGAAGCAUCCUCCCACCAGACACAGCCUCUGAGUUCUUUAGGUCGAUUGAAGAACAAGAAAAAUAACUACAUAUGCUUGUUAAAAUGAAUGAAACAAUAAAAAACAUGAAUACGUGUAUUAUCGAUAGCAACAAUAUACCUCAUCAUGAAUAAAUGAUUGGGGUGAGAAUGAUGCAAAUAG